GACGAACGCUGGCGGCGUGCUUAACACAUGCAAGUCGAACGAAGAGCGAUGGAAGCUUGCUUCUAUCAAUCUUAGUGGCGCACGGGUGAGUAACGCGUAAUCAACCUGCCCUUCAGAGGGGGACAACAGUUGGAAACGACUGCUAAUACCGCAUACGAUCUAAUCUCGGCAUCGAGGAUAGAUGAAAGGUGGCCUCUACAUGUAAGCUAUCACUGAAGGUGGGGAUUGCGUCUGAUUAGCUAGUUGGAGGGGUAAAGGCCCACCAAGGCGAUGAUCAGUAGCCGGUCUGAGAGGAUGAACGGCCACAUUGGGACUGAGACACGGCCCAGACUCCUACGGGAGGGAGCAGUGGGGAAUCUUCCGCAAUGGACGAAAGUCUGACGGAGCAACGCCGCGUGAGUGAUGACGGCCUUCGGGUUGUAAAGCUCUGUUAAUCGGGACGAAAGGCCUUCUUGCGAAUAGUGAGAAGGAUUGACGGUACCGGAAUAGAAAGCCACGGCUAACUACGUG
rnacentral:rRNA from 1 species